rnacentral:tRNA from 1 species
AUUUAAAUAAUUUAAAAAAAAAUAUUGAUUUGUGGAAUCAAAAAUAUGAGGUAUUUCAUUUUAAAUC